rnacentral:ncRNA from 10 species
ACAGUACAAACUGAGCAGACCGUGAAUAUCAUGGGGUCGGGUCGCAGAAGCGACAGUGGAAGUUAGUUUCAUCCACGGGACAGUA